rnacentral:rRNA from 1 species
UACAGGGGGGGCAAGCGUUGUUCGGAAUUACUGGGCGUAAAGGGCUCGUAGGCGGCCAACUAAGUCCGACGUGAAAUCCCCAGCUUAACCUGGGAACUGCGUCGGAUACUGGAUGGCUUGAAUUCGGGAGAGGGAUGCAGAAUUCCAGGUGUAGCGGUGAAAUGCGUAGAUAUCUGGAGGAAUACCGGUGGCGAAGGCGGCAUCCUGGACCGACAUUGACGCUGAUGAGCGAAAGCUAGGGGAGCAAACGGG